UACGGAAUGGGAUUUUUUAAUGGCAUCUCGAUAACUGCGUCGAGUUUCAGUUUGUUUAUUGAGGAAAUCGACCGUUGAACUUUUGGAUCAGCAGCCUUAUAAGCUUACCAGCAGACCAACGAGGCAUACUUCAAUAAGAGUCGAACAUCGAUGCAACCAUGCAAAAUUGCAUAUCCAUCUAACAACAAUGUGAUGUACGAAAGAUCUAAUGGUCGCUGGGGCAGAAAGGUUCUCGAGUAGUGAACACAAAUCAGAAGACAAAGCAUGGGCAGGCCGUCUACAAGGUGGACGGACGACAUUACAAGGGUCGCGGGAAGCCGUUA